UAAAAACAACGACCUAGAUAGUAC
rnacentral:siRNA from 1 species